ensembl:snoRNA
GUUCCCUUUUCAGAUUGUCACAGUGCCCUAAGCGGCUAACACAGAAAGGUAAAUAAAGUAAGCUCAUGAAACCCAAUGAGAUUGUAAAAUUCCUCUUUGGAUCCUGUCUGGAGUCACAGCU